rnacentral:lncRNA from 1 species
UUCUCUUUGCUCCUUCAUAUUUAGCUAAGGGUUUCAAUAGCAACAAAACUUCAGAGGCUGUGGAAACUGCUUAGUGAAGGUGCUGAUCUAGUGUGCCAAGGGAAACAAAACCACACAGUCUAGUCAAUAGAGUUUCAUUCAACUUCCUGUUCCUUUCCAGGGGAUGAAACACCAGAGUGCCAUGCAACUAAUACCAGAGACUUUAAUUCUUAUUUUUAAACACCUAAGUGAAGUGACGACCCUGAAUUGAAGUCUCUACAAAAUAUACAUCACCUUCCAAUGUCAGGGCAAUAAGAACUCUCGGGACAGCCAGUUGAUUUCAGCAACCCUUGACAUCUGGAAGAAGAUGGUUACAGUAUUGAAGCUGGUGGAGCAUAUAAGGUAAGAGAGAGAAGUCAUUCUGUCUGUGCACCAGAGUCACCUCUGGAGAAGAACUAAUGUUAAAUGCAAUGCUGAGGUAUAAACACAGUGAUUAGUCCUGAGGUAUAAAUGCAAAGCUAUCCUAAACCAGAGAUCAGAAAAUAUGUUAUGUAAAGAGCCAGAUAGUAAGUGAAUGUAAGCAACCUGCAUGAUCUCUAUUACGACUGUUCAC